GACGAACGCUGGCGGCGCGCCUAACACAUGCAAGUCGAACGGGACUACAUUCGGGAAGUUUUCGGAUGGAACGGAUGUAGUUUAGUGGCGGACGGGUGAGUAACACGUGAGCAACCUGCCUUCGAGAGGGGAAUAACGGCUGGAAACGGUCGCUAAUACCGCAUAAUGUAUCGGGAGGACAUCCUCCUGGUACCAAAGAUUUAUCGCUCGAAGAUGGGCUCGCGUCCGAUUAGGUAGUUGGUGAGGUAACGGCCCACCAAGCCGACGAUCGGUAGCCGGACUGAGAGGUUGAACGGCCACAUUGGGACUGAGACACGGCCCAG
rnacentral:rRNA from 1 species